AUGAACAAUCAUGCAAUAGUUACACAGCCGACACGAGAGCACAGGAUACGUUCUCACUGUUUCACGCCUCGUCGACGUCUCACGUCGCAUUAUCACGUGUGUGAUAUAAAUGUCCGGCAACAGAUCACCAGCAUAACCAACCAGCGAUGCAGGAAGCACACCGGCGUUGAUGCCCAAAAGGUCGACCGGGAGGUGGCACCGGAGGGGCUUGGCGAGAAGGUCGGCCGGGGAACCGAAGCAAUUGUGCACCGUCUCCUCCUCGCCCUUUCUCGGAGCUGGAGCUAUGCCACCGGCGGCGGCAGUAGUGUUAAGGAUGCCUAUUUCGUCGUCGUCGUCGAGGUACAUGCAUGCUCCUCUUGCGAGCGCGAUUUGCUUCCCCUGCUGUCACCGCCAGCUGCUCUCCCCCACCGUCUGAUCCCAUGGGCACGCCCUGGUCUAGACGUGUCGACGACGAUGCUGCAUCGGCCGUGUCGCCGGAAUCCACGCAGCGCCGUGGAGAGACCCGAGAACUGCAGCUUCCGCUUCGCCGCCGCCAACCAGCUCCCCUAA
rnacentral:rRNA from 1 species